UGCCAAGUUAACAAAAACAUAACUUCUAUGAUAAAUAUUCUCAAAAAACCUUAUAAGAAACAAUAGCAGAGAAUAAAAUAUCAAAAUCAAAUGGACCCUAACAAUAGCUGCAUUAACUGGGCACGGAUACUUAUGGAACAAAUUUAAAUCUGAAAAGUUAUCAAUUCAAAAAUGUGAUAAGAUUACACUGAUGCAUCUUUACAGAUCUUCUUAAGUCUGUCACUUACAGAAGCAUAACAUAAUAUAUGACAAGCUAUAUCAUAUUAAGUCUAUAUUUUUUAAAAUAAGGCUUCACUAGUUAAAAUGAGAGGUUCUAAAUGGAAAAGAAUUCCUACAAUCAAGGCCAUGAACAUAAUGGACAAGGCAACUCAUUCCAAAGUGAUAUUGCUUUAACAACCGCUGGAAUAAUUUGAAUAGAGUGUUGUUUCAGUAUAGCAUGAGAACUUACUUAGAAAACAGUAAGAAGAGGUAGAAGUAGUAAGAUUUUUUUUUUCAAAUUUCAAUAAUAUAUUUAAGGUUGUUAAACAACAACAACAACAACAACAACAGACACACACAAGGAGAUGACAAAUUUUAUCCCUUAUUUUUAUAUUAAAUACCUUCAUGUUUCUGUUAGUGCAAAGUAAACAUUCAAUUUCAAAAUGUACUAUAAAGUAUAUUUAUGAAGCAUUGUAAAAUCUAUUUGGAUAAAAUAAGAUUAACAAAAUAGGUGUAAAAUAUUUGUAACAAAUAACUUAUUAAAGCUAGACACAAUAAAUCUUUAUAUAUCAUAAAAAUAAAAACAACACUAACUUUCUUUCCACAUAAUCCAGAAAUAGCCUGAUUUUUGGAGGAGAAGAAGAGCAGAUUGUGGGGCUAACUAUUCAGUUAUUAACAUGCACAAAGAAACCAUUGGGAAUUAAAAUCCAUACAGCAUAACUUUCUUUUUUCUUUUUUACCUCAAGCAGAUUUGUUUCUCUUGUCAUAUAUAACUUAAUUAACAUGAUUUGGAUUCAAACUCUGAGUUUGGAGUCUGAGUCAGCUACAUACUUACUACAUGGAUGUGAGCUUCUAGACCACAGUUCAUCAUCUAUAAAAUGAGGGGCAUCUUUGAUAUCUCUUUCAGUCCCAAAGAUAUGACAUACAUAGUUUUUAAAAGCUUGUUCAGCAAACAAAAUGAGAAUCUGGCCAAGCUAACCUCACUAAAAUCCUUUCCCAUCUCAAAACAUCCCAAAUUCAACUUCUCAAUAAGGAGGAACCUUGGUACCAAGUUUCCAUUGAUUAUUGUUAAAAAUGGCCCCUAAUGUACUUAUCUUUUUACACUGUCAUUAUUAAGAGCCCAAAAAGACUCAGUGCUUUCUUUGUUUUUUCCAGUUUUGCAUUCUGACUCUUAACACAGAAUGUGCUAUCAUUGGCCUGAGGAACUCCCUUUGUGCCAAUGCAGUCUGGCAAGCUGUCGACUAGUUAGAGCUCUCAGAGAGCCAUCUCAACCACCAAAAAAAAAUCACAUGACUUGCUCAGGACCACACAGCCAAUGUGUAUCAAAGGCUCUGUUCUGCUUUUAAAGCUUUACACCACAUUCACUAUCCACAGAGGUCACUAUCAUAUAGUUGGGCACAUCUAGUCAAGCUCCAAACCAGAAGCAAUGCAGCUAUUAAGUUACAUGUGUGGAGGGAAGGGGGGAGAGGGAAUGAUUACAAUGUGACUGUGGAUAAAUUCUCCGCCUCUCCUUUUAUAACAUAUACAUACAUGUAUUUCUACGUACACAGAUAUUUCUUGGUACAUAUACAAAUACACACACACACACACACAUAAAAGUGUAUAUGUCUCCCUACUAGAGUAUAAGCUGCUUGUGAGUAGGGAUGGUUUCAUGUUGACAACUUUUCUCCCUAGUACUUAGCACAAUGAGCAUUUAAGAAAUGCUUAAAGCUGACUGACAUACUAAUUGUCAAAGACCAGAUGGCAGUAAGUGGGACUGAGAAAGCUGCCCAGAGGCCAAGUGGUGCAUCAAGAUCUUAACAAGCUCAGGGCUACAGUUCUCUCCAAGUAAAACAUUCAGAAACCAGGCCUCGGUCAGGAAGCAGCAGGGCAUGGCUGAGAAGGGCUCAUGAGGUUUCUGGGUUUGCAUCCCAGCCCUGCUUCUCACUAGCAGAUGAUUUGGGAGAGCCACUCAACCUCUCUAGGUCUCAUUUUCUCCCCCUGAAAACUGAGGGUUCCAGGCCCCAAAUCAUUCACAAGUUCUUCAGCAACAGUUCUCUAGCCUUUUGGUAUCAGGAAAUCCAUCCCGUGUUUUAAAACAAAUGGAGGACACCCCCCCCCCCCCAACAAAGAGCUCCCGUUUAGGUGAGUUUUAUCUACUGAUAUUAGCCAGAAUGGUAAUUAAAACAUCUUUAGGGGCGCUAUGAUGAAAACAACUUUGGGACCCUCCAAAGGUGAUGGGAUCCCCAGACCACACCUUGAGAACUGCUGUCCAAGAGGGAAAAAGCCCAAAAGCCUCACCACUGCAAAUCAUAAUUACAGGAAGAAAUCCAUUCACAAGUUGGGAUAAGCUCCAUUUUUUUUCUUAAAGUUUUUCCAAAACCCAACACUGAAAGUCUUCAAUCCAUCUCUGCUGCUGGCUCCUGGGCAAGGGGACUAAAAGGCCUUUGGGGCCUCUUUCCCCUCCACCAGGUGGAAGCCAAGGAUUUCUCAUCUCAAGUCAGAUGCAGACAGACAGUAACUGCUUAAUUACAGCAGUAUACGUAACUGGACAAAUUGUAGGGAGAAAUCUUUACCAGUUUCAUGUCUACUGAGGUAUUAUCCCACCUUUGUUAUUCAUGUUUCCAAGGCUUUAAGGCCUCCCCAGGAAGCAAAAGGGGCCCUGGGUUCUCCUAGGCACCAGCAGGCACAAUGGCAGCUCUGGCAGGUGCUCACGGGCACAGGGGCAGGAUGAGGGUCAACUUGGCUGUAUGCAGAGUCUCCUCCUCCCAAUGCAGAUAGCAAGGGUGGAGUAUUUUGGCCAGGACAAUUAAUGAAACCAUCUCCUAAAGCAAGGGAGGGGGGUGAAGAGCAUUACUGCAGGGAGUUUCAGUAAUUGAGAUUACAGGCCUCGGUAUUAGAAUAAACCUGAAGAAAACUGCCAGGCAUUUCCUGAUAUUAUUGCUGGACUGGCUCUGGCUUCAUCACAGAUUUACUGGUACUUUUGUUCCAAAGAGGUUCAACAUUUAUAUUUAUGAUUAGUCACCACAAGAGUAUUUUGGAUUAUUUAUUUCAUUUCUAACUUAUAAAAAUGCUUUAGAAAAUUCAAGCUCAGUUUGUAAAAUCCAAGCACCAAGAAUCUUUGCUCUUAAAGAAGGUAACUAAAAUGACACAAAUCCUAUUAUGUAUAAAUGGCAAUUCUCAAAAUGCAAGAGGAAUAUGAAGGGUAAGCAAAGAUAUUCCCGAGAAAACCUUUCAGUUUAAGGGAAAUAUCUUUUAAUUAAAAAAAAAAUUCAGAACAUGCAGAGUUUCAGCUUAAUCUAUACUUUUUAAAGAUUAAAAAACCACUUGAGUAUAUAUAGUUACUUUUGUUUUUUUUUCCACACUGCUACCUAAUAUACAAAAACAAAUGUUUAUCUAUAUGGUGAAAAACCAAACAGAGUAUAUACUGUAUUCUAUGAUAGCUUAUUGAUUAUUGAGCACUAAUGAAUUAUAAAGACCAUAUUAUAGUUACCAGCACCCCAAAAGUGGGUCAUUGCAUACCAAAGAUCAGUCACUAAUUCUAAAGAUUCUCAAGUCUGUUACAGCUUCAAAAUAUUAAGUGAUAGCGAUUAACAUGCAUAUUCAUUAUCUUGCUGCAUAAAGAGGCAAUAUAGCAAAGCCAAUUGAAAUUCUAUUGUGUCUCUGGAUCUCCUCUCUUGGUUAAAAAGAGCUUAUAACCAGACACAAUGAGGGUGCACUCCAAUAUGCUCAUUGAUGUAAUUCAAAGCAAAUACACUAUAAUAUCUUUAAAUAUAUUUUUAAAUAGCAAUAGAAAGCAGGAGCAAGAAUGCACUUGUUUAUAAAAAAAAAUUAGAUUACAAAGGCACAUUAACCAUAUUAUAAAGAUAUUAAGAAGCACAUUCCUUCAACAAUUAUCACAAUUCAGUCUUAAUUUGCUCAUACAUUCAUUACCACAAUCUCUUUUGACUACCAGUAUCCUGUAAAAGGUAUCUUGGAUAAAAAUGAAAAAUCACUGCUUUGAAUUUCCGGUUUUCUAGCUAUUUUCCAAGACCAAUUCCAUCCUAAAAUAAAAUGUUGUAAACACUGAAUGCCAUAGUUCAUCUGUUUCAUGAAUCACCUUCUGAAAAUUUUAAAAUAGUGCAAAUAAUCUGCACACACACACAUAUACAAAGACACACAGAAAACUAUAAACAUACACACAAAUGGACACAAAAAACUAUAUAGACAACAUUAGAACACUUCUCUUCAACACCAUUUUAAAAAAAAUUUGGACUAAGAUUGAAAAAUUAAUUAUAUUUGUGAUCAGAAAUACCUAUAAAAAUUGGCUUUUACUUCAAAGACCAUUUUAAAAUUGUAUUCUAAGUCAUAAUGAAUUUUACAUUCCCUUAGUUCACAAAUAACUGUUUUGCAAGACCUUUAGCAGCUGCACUGCUAUUAAACAUACAGCAUCUGGUUUGGAAACAUUCACAAAUCUAAAACUACACUGUUUGUCAAAGCACAUGGAAAAAACAUUGCAUUGAUCCACAAAGUGUCAAAUUUACAAAGAUCUAUGAAGAAC
rnacentral:lncRNA from 1 species